rnacentral:rRNA from 1 species
CCUACGGGAGGCAGCAGUGAGGAAUAUUGGUCAAUGGGCGAGAGCCUGAACCAGCCAAGUCGCGUGAAGGAUGCUGGAUCUAUGGUUUGUAAACUUCUUUUAUAUGGGACUAAAGUGAGGACCGUGUUCCUUUUUGUAUGUACCAACUGAAUAAGCUUCGGCUAACUCCGUGCCAGCAGCCGCGGUAAUCCGGAGGAUGCGAGCGUUAUCCGGAUUUAUUGGGUUUAAAGGGUGCGUAGGUGGUUAAUUAAGUCAGCGGGGAAAGUUUGAGGCUCAACCAUAAAAGUGCCGUUGAUACUGGUUGACUUGAGUAUAUUUGAGGUAGGCGGAAUGCGUGGUGUAGCGGUGAAAUGCAUAGAUAUCACGCAGAACUCCGAUUGCGAAGGCAGCUUACUAAACUAUAACUGACACUGAUGCACGAAAGCGUGGGGAUCAAACAGGAUUAGAUACCCCUGUAGUC